UGGGGAAUAUUGGACAAUGGGCGCAAGCCUGAUCCAGCCAUACCGCGUGGGUGAAGAAGGCCUUCGGGUUGUAAAGCCCUUUUGUUGGGAAAGAAAAGCAGCCGGUUAAUACCCGGUUGUUCUGACGGUACCCAAAGAAUAAGCACCGGCUAACUUCGUGCCAGCAGCUGCGGUAAUACGAAGGGUGCAAGCGUUACUCGGAAUUACUGGGCGUAAAGCGUGCGUAGGUGGUUGUUUAAGUCUGUUGUGAAAGCCCUGGGCUCAACCUGGGAAUUGCAGUGGAUACUGGGCGACUAGAGUGUGGUAGAGGGUAGUGGAAUUCCUGGUGUAGCAGUGAAAUGCGUAGAGAUCAGGAGGAACAUCCAUGGCGAAGGCAGCUACCUGGACCAACACUGACACUGAGGCACGAAAGCGUGGGGAGCAAACAGG
rnacentral:rRNA from 1 species